GACGAACGCUGGCGGCGUGCUUAACACAUGCAAGUCGAGCGGUAAGGCCCUUUCGGGGGUACACGAGCGGCGAACGGGUGAGUAACACGUGGGUGACCUGCCCUCAGCUCUGGGAUAAGCCUGGGAAACUGGGUCUAAUACCGGAUAUGACUCCAUGACGCAUGUUGUGGGGUGGAAAGCCUUGUGCGGCUGAGGAUGGGCCCGCGGCCUAUCAGCUUGUUGGUGGGGUGAGGCCUACCAAGGCGACGACGGGUAGCCGGCCUGAGAGGGCGACCGGCCACACUGGGACUGAGACACGGCCCAGACUCCUACGGGAGGCAGCAGUGGGGAAUCUUGCGCAAUGGGCGAAAGCCUGACGCAGCGACGCCGCGUGAGGGAU
rnacentral:rRNA from 1 species